rnacentral:rRNA from 1 species
UAGAAGCCGAUGAAGGACGUUACUAACGACGAUAUGCUUUGGGGAGCUGUAAGUAAGCUUUGAUCCAGAGAUUUCCGAAUGGGGAAACCCAGCAUGAGUUAUGUCAUGUUAUCGAUAUGUGAAUACAUAGCAUAUCAGAAGGCACACCCGGAGAACUGAAACAUCUUAGUACCCGGAGGAAGAGAAAGAAAAUUCGAUUCCCUUAGUAGCGGCGAGCGAAACGGGAAGAGCCCAAACCAACAAGCUUGCUUGUUGGGGUUGUAGGACACUCUAUACGGAGUUACAAAGGACGACAUUAGACGAAUCAUCUG